AAUAUUGGCCUAUGGGGGCAACCCUGAUCCAGCCAUGCAGCGAGUGUGAAGAAGGUCUUCGGAUUGUAAAGCACUUUAAGUUGUGAGGAAGGUAUUUAGGUUGAUACCCUGAAGUUUUGACGUUACGAACAGAAUAAGCCCCGGCUAAUCCUGUGCCAGCAGCCGCGGUAAUACAGAGGGUGCAAGCGUUAAUUGGAAUUACUGGGCGUAAAGCGCGCGUAGGUGGUUCAGUAAGAUGGGUGUGAAAUCCCCGGGCUUAACCUGGGAACUGCUUUCAUAACUGCUGAGCUAGAGUACGGUAGAGGGUAGUGGAAUUUCCUGUGUAGCGGUGAAAUGCGUAGAUAUAGGAAGGAACACCAGUGGCGAAGGCGACUACCUGGACUGAUACUGACACUGAGGUGCGAAAGCGUGGGGAGCAAAC
rnacentral:rRNA from 1 species